UACGAAAGGGGCUAGCGUUGUUCGGAAUUACUGGGCGUAAAGCGCACGUAGGCGGCAAUGUAAGUUGGGGGUGAAAUCCCGGGGCUCAACCCCGGAACUGCCUCCAAAACUACAUAGCUCGAGGAUGUGAGAGGUUGGCGGAAUUCCGAGUGUAGAGGUGAAAUUCGUAGAUAUUCGGAAGAACACCAGUGGCGAAGGCGGCCAACUGGCACAUUUCUGACGCUGAGGUGCGAAAGCGUGGGGAGCAAACAGG
rnacentral:rRNA from 1 species